rnacentral:rRNA from 1 species
UACGUAGGGUGCAAGCGUUGUCCGGAAUCAUUGGGCGUAAAGAGCGUGUAGGCGGCCCGGUAAGUCCGCUGUAAAAGUCAAAGGCUCAACCUUUGAAUGUCAGUGGAUACUGCCGGGCUAGAGUCCGGAAGAGGCGAGUGGAAUUCCUGGUGUAGCGGUGAAAUGCGCAGAUAUCAGGAGGAACACCGAUGGCGAAGGCAGCUCGCUGGGACGGUACUGACGCUGAGGCGCGAAAGCGUGGGGAGCAAACAGG